rnacentral:lncRNA from 1 species
AUGUCCAGGAAAGCUGUGCUGGCUUUGAUUCUUCUCUGCCUGUUUACAACAUCUGUAGACCUGACAAUCAUCAGAGCUGGGUGUGGACAGGAUGUCGUUCUGCCGUGUCAAGUUCAUAAAGAUUAUCCCACUGCGGCUGUAUUGUGGAGGAGAACUGACCUAAAGCCAGAAAAAGUACUUUUGUACCAGAGCAAGACGUCUCAUCAAGCCAACAAGUAUCCAUCUUCAAGUAGCCGCUUGCAUCUGAUGGAUGGAUGGAUGGACAGUGGAAAUUUGUCCUUGGCUCUGCAGGAUGUGACGCAGGCUGAGAGUGGAACAUAUGAGUGUCUGGCCAUCGACAAAGAAAGACACCAAUGGAAGACUCACAUUGAGAACACUGAUACCAUCAACACCAUCCAGCUGAUAAUUGUUUCAGUGGCUCCACCACUGAAUGCUGGCAAAAGGCAGUUUGCUCCACCUACAUGUGAUCUGCUUUUGACUUUGGGUCUUCUCUCAUAUUUCUGUUUCUCUGUUUAA